AAAACGUUAGUAUGAGGGAAUUUUCCCAGAAAUUUCAUAGAUUUUACCAGAGAAAAACUUGUCUUACUACAAGUCUAGAAGAUUAAGUAGGCAAAGGACUUAUAGCAGACGUCAUGACUGUAUAUAGUAACAAGAUUGAUGGUGCUAGGUAAGGGGCUUGAAUGGACGAUACAUAUACAUUAAGUAUUUAUCACAAUACAUUUUAAGGUAGCAGUGGAACUCUAACUAUACAGGAGCAUUGCAAAGCAAUCUUUUGUCACGACGUGAGUGAAAAAUUAAGCGCACAUCUCACGCAACCUCCAAGCUGUGGAUCUCCGGAAGGGUUUCCACAAUGCCUUCUUCACCUUCACCACUGCAAAUUCCCACCCUACUCUGCCUCUUCAGUUCUUCCCUACUGCAACUGCUAAGGUUUUUACUUUAAUCAUGAUCAUUUCUAUUGUAAAUCCUGCCAAUUCUUUGUUAGCUUUCUUGAAUCAGAAAUAUCCUGCAAUUUUCUUUUUCUUUUUUUAGUUAUAAGGAGCUGAAUGUAUGGUAAGAGCUUUGUUUUCUGUAAAUCUAUGUUCGGGCAAUUCUGAGUA